rnacentral:rRNA from 1 species
UACAGAGGGGGCAAGCGUUGUUCGGAAUUACUGGGCGUAAAGGGCGCGUAGACGGCCUUCUAAGUCAUGCGUGAAAUCCCCGGGCUCAACCCGGGAACUGCGUCUGAUACUGGAAGGCUUGAAUCCGGGAGAGGGAUGCGGAAUUCCAGGUGUAGCGGUGAAAUGCGUAGAUAUCUGGAGGAACACCGGUGGCGAAGGCGGCAUCCUGGACCGGCAUUGACGCUGAGGCGCGAAAGCUAGGGGAGCAAACGGG